GGUUGUAAUCAGCACAAUUUGGUACACCGUUCACUCGAUUGUAAGCGCACAUGAUCCCAGUGGCUUGCCCUUGUUGUACACAUUUCUGAAAUGGUGGUAAGAAAGUAUCUGCUAGAUCUUAGUUACAUUGGCAUUGAAGUUGUAACGAUCAAAGGUUUUCCAGUUAUCUAGAUCAUUAGCGACGAAGUGUUUGCAGCAAGCGGAAGCUUGCAGGAUAUCAUAAUUCGUUCCGCCUUCAAAGGUGUCGCCUUGAAUCCCUCUGACGUAUGAAACUGAAUAGUCUCCGACGACCAAUGGAUCUUCACCGGGUGUCUCCUGUCCUCUUCCCCAUCUUGGGUCU
rnacentral:lncRNA from 1 species